UGUCCAUACUUCCUCUUACGGUUUUCAAUCUGCUGUUGCUUUCCUUCAAUCAUGAUGGCACGAUCUACCAACUCCUGGUAGUUGUUGAAAGUCGCUACCAUCAACUGCAUGCUUAGUUCAUCAUUCAGUCCUUCCAGAAACUUCUCCUGCUUAGUAGCAUCCGUAGCAACGUCAUCUGGGGCAUAACGUGCUAACUUGCUGAAAUCGUCAACGUACUGGCCAACUGUCCUUCCUCCUUGGCGUAAGUUGUGAAACUCACGCUUCUUCAGGGCCAUAGCUCCUGCUGAAACAUGGGCAGUGCGGAAAGCUUGCUGAAACUGAUCCCAUGUGACAGUGUCAACUGGGUAAGUGGCUGUGAAAUUCUCCCACCAUGCUGCCACGGGUCCGUCAAGCUGGUGAGCGGCAAACUUCACUUUCUCACCAUCCGUGCAUCCUGCAGUGGUCAACUCCCUUCCUAUCUUGCGGAGCCAAUCAUCUGCUACUAUCGGCUCGGUGCUACUGGAAAACACCGGCGGAUUCAGCCUAAGGAAACGGGCUAAGUGGUCAACAGGUGGUGGUGGUGGUGGUGGUGGUGGUGGGUUGUUGUUGUUGUUCUGCUGGUUCUGGACUAACAUCUGCAUCAAUUGAUUCUGCUGCUGGAUCAACUGAGUGAGCUCCGGUGGGAAUCCAUUGUCACGUCCCGGAGGCAUCUGAGGGUUUAGAAAAGACGAGAAUUAAGAAUAGAGUGAGGUCUAAAGGGAAAACACUACCCCCAAUGCACAUGAGGCAAAAGCACACAAUUUCACUUCAAUCAAUCAAUCAAGGGCUUACAAUCGGUCUAAAACUAUCGCAAAAGUGCUCGAACUAAUGUUUACAUGGGGGAAUACUACUACUAUCUGGUGGUCAUCUAGAAAUUUGAACCGGUGGAAGACUCCAUGAUAUCUGCUCCAGCUUCGUCUUCAAAGUCGGGUUCACUUGGAUCCGAAUCGGUGUCGUCGAUGAUGAUGUAGUUGUCCGGACAUGCGACGUACAUGUCUUCCUUCUUGGAUGCUAACUUCCCCUUGAGUUCUUCAAUCUCCUGCUUAAGAUCGCCAUUGUGUCUCGCUAGAGCUACGAUCUCGUCCAUGUAGUCCUUGCGUGUAGACUUCAGUUCUCCUUCUAGCUCGAUGAUCCUUGCCUUCGCAUUCUUCAACUCUAUCAUAUCAUUGCACAUCUGGUUCUCGUGGCGUCGAAUGUGCUGGUUUAACUCCUGGAUGAAAGAUGCAAUGGAUCUAUCCUUCUUGGUGUUGACUAACUCCCAUUGUUCAUCGCGGCGUCCGCAAAUCUGGUAGAUAGUGUCCUUGAGGUCUUCUUGAUAAACUUCUCCAAUGCGUCCUAUGGUGAUAUGAGCUGCCAUGCUCUUUCCCAGACUCCAGGUUGGUGCAUUGAAAACACUAUCUAUAGGCUUCGUGAUUGGCGCGAAUGUUCUUCCCGGAACGUGAGCUUGAAUCUUCCAGUGCUCCUCUUCAGGUAGAGUGGCGUUGAAGGUUCCCGUGAAGCUUGGUAAUCCAAUGUUCAGGUACUUGGUGACUUCCUUCAGGUGAAAUCCAAAAGGUGUGCCUUCAUCUGGUUGAGCGUACUUAAUCUUCACGUUCGUCAUCCUAAAAGAGUAGAAGAGAUGAGGAGUUAGAAAAUGAGAAGAGAAUGGUAAUCUAUGGCUUUAACUUAGUGGUCGUGUCCUACAGUCAGCGUGUGCUCUGAUACCAUCUCUGUAGCGACCCGACCCGAAUGGAUCAAGUGCUCUGCGCUCAGGUGUCAUCCCUGGAUCAGUAAUGCUGACACCACACAGUACAUCGAAGGAUUUAUAGCAGAGUGGCAAUCACACACUUAUUACAUCGUUGUCUCAAAGAGAACUUAUUACAAUAAAUAUGGCUUAAGGCCAUCUAGUGUCGAUAACAGCGGAAGACUUGGAAGAUAAAUGGGUCCAUCAACUCCAACGGCAUCACUGAGUAUAGAACCACGACCUAAAAGCACCGUACUCGUCGUCUGAAAAGUCUGCAACAUGAAAGUUGCAGCCUGAAAACGGGUCAGCACAUGGAAUAUGCUGGCAAUGUAACACAUAGAGAGUAAUGGAAUCAAACAGCUAUACUAUAUGCAUAUAUGGCUGGUGGAAAGCUCUAUGGUUACAGUUUUGCGUAAAGCCAAUUUUUCCCUACUGCAAAGGAAUAAAUUUAUUUAACUAUCAUGGUAGUUGUUAAACAUCGAGAAUGGUUGACAGCAUUCCGAUCCCAAUUAAGUAAUUAAAACCCAACAACAUUAAUUAGAAGUAACAUGAUGAGAUUCACAUGAUAUUCAAGUACUAGAUACUCAAGUUGUCCAUAACCGGGGACACGGCUAAUCAUGAUUAGUUUGUACACUCUGCAGAGGUUUGCGCACUUUUCCCCACAUGACUCGAUCGCCUCCGUUUGUUUCCUCGCACUACAUGGUGUUUGAGAAACGGAUGACCGAGACAUAGUCUUUCAGAAGUGCUAGCACCUUACAUGUGGGGUAGACCGUACCACCUACAACCCCUAAAUCUGCUAGUCCACCCCGUAAGAGUUCGCACAACUUAGUCAACUAUGCCAGAGCCCAUAGUAGCAUGUGGCUGCACACGAAAGUUUCUAGCAUGAAUUAUCUUAUGAUCCCUUUGAGCCUGGGUAGUGGUCCAGAAUAAAACAGGCAAGUCCUCAUAGACAUCAGGUACCUCAAUCCACCCAGAUGUGUGUUUAAGUGGCCACCUUAGAUAAACCAUUAAAAAUUAUCAACUCACAUCUGUCAUGGAUAUCACUCAGCCAAUCCACGUCUACUAGCAUAGCAUGGCAUAAAUAGCAAGCGUAGAAGUAACUCCCAAAGGUUUCAUAAUAAUACAGUUAAUAGGUACUACCUCAUCUACUUCCCAUCCCACAGUUUAAUUAGAUACUAAUCAUGCAAUGUGAUAAGAUUGAUCUAAUGCAAUAAAACAUGGGUUGUAGAAAAGGUAUGAUCAAAGUGUUACUUGCCUUGCUGAUGAUCCGCGAGACCUAGGAUUUCGAAGUAACAAGCGGCGCAAUCCGGGUGAUCUAUCGCAGACAAACAACAAGCACACAAUAAGUACUCAUCUAAUGCACAGGUAAAACUCGAACAAGAGAACGAACCAGAAAGUUCAACUUAAGAACUCCGGUUGUGAACGAGGAAACGGAAAACAAACGGCAGAAGAAAAACAACUCGGUUCUAGCAAGUUGAAACUAGGUCAAAUUUUAUUAUAGCAAAAGCUUGUUCAAGUUGAUUAACGGAACGACGGUUUCGAGACGAAACUCCAGGUGCUUGAAUCACCUGAUUCCGAUAAACGAGCGGGAAGAAAGACUAGAACGAAGAUCGGAUCUGAGAUCGCGAUCGCGGAAUAAAACCGACGAGAAAGAAAAUGAAGAGCGGUUAAACGAACAGACGUCGUUAACCGGGAAAGAAUCGGUGAUCACGUUCGUUGAGACGAACGGUCUGAAAGAAGAACGAAAACCGAUCUAGGGUUUUCGGAAAAGAAACCGAAAAGAAAACGGAAAACCGAUCUAGGGUUUCGGAAGAAAACCGAAACAAAAAUCGGAAGAAAAAGAAAAGAAACGGAGAGAAAACGGAACGGUUCUUUUAGGGAAAACCAGACCGAGGCGAGGGGUUGCGCGGCUACCUCCGGCGAGGGGCUCCGGCGGCGGCGAGACAAGGGCGNNNNNNNNNNNNNNNNNNNNNNNNNNNNNNNNNNNNNNNNNNNNNNNNNNNNNNNNNNNNNNNNNNNNNNNNNNNNNNNNNNNNNNNNNNNNNNNNNNNNNNNNNNNNNNNNNNNNNNNNNNNNNNNNNNNNNNNNNNNNNNNNNNNNNNNNNNNNNNNNNNNNNNNNNNNNNNNNNNNNNNNNNNNNNNNNNNNNNNNNNNNNNNNNNNNNNNNNNNNNNNNNNNNNNNNNNNNNNNNNNNNNNNNNNNNNNNNNNNNNNNNNNNNNNNNNNNNNNNNNNNNNNNNNNNNNNNNNNNNNNNNNNNNNNNNNNNNNNNNNNNNNNNNNNNNNNNNNNNNNNNNNNNNNNNNNNNNNNNNNNNNNNNNNNNNNNNNNNNNNNNNNNNNNNNNNNNNNNNNNNNNNNNNNNNNNNNNNNNNNNNNNNNNNNNNNNNNNNNNNNNNNNNNNNNNNNNNNNNNNNNNNNNNNNNNNNNNNNNNNNNNNNNNNNNNNNNNNNNNNNNNNNNNNNNNNNNNNNNNNNNNNNNNNNNNNNNNNNNNNNNNNNNNNNNNNNNNNNNNNNNNNNNNNNNNNNNNNNNNNNNNNNNNNNNNNNNNNNNNNNNNNNNNNNNNNNNNNNNNNNNNNNNNNCUAGGCGGUGGCAGCUAGGCGGCGGCGGCUAGGCGGCGGCGGCGCUAGGGCGGCGGGGCUGGCGCGCGGCUCGGGGCGGGAAGCGGCGGUGGCUGCGGCUUGGGGUGGAGAGGGGGGUGUUGGGUAUUUAUAUAGGAGGGGGGUGUUGCUUGGGCAAGGGGCAAGGGGGGCGCCGGCCUAGAGUCCUCCUAGGACUCGGCUUAGGGCGGGGCGCAAGGCAGGCGGCGGGGCUGGCGCUGGCACAGAGGGCGGCUGGCGGCUGGGCCGGCCGGCUGGGCCCUUGGCCCAGGCGGGGCGCUGCUCUUUUUUUUUAAAACGGUUCCGCACGCAGAAAAGCAAAAAGAAAACUAACUAAACGAACUCUGAAAAACCUAAAGUAAAUUUUCCCCGACUCCUAAAAAUGAGCCAAACAAAAUGAACUUUUCUCCGGGCCUAAAAUGCAAUUUUCGAAAACACGCAUUUUUCCCCUAUCCAAAGAAAACAAACAAACUCCGGCAAACAAAAUUUUAUCUAUGUAUUAAAUGUUCAUUUUUCCUCAAUUUUGGGAAAGUCAUAUUAUUCCCUCUCUUAUAUUUUUGAUAUCGGAAAAAUUAUUGAAGAUGAAAUAAAUAAAUCAAAGGAUCCUCUUUUCAAAUUCGAGAAAACUCUCAAAUAUGAAAAUAACGAAAUCUCCAACUCUCUCUGAAGGUCCUUGAGUUGCGUGAAAUUUCUAGGAUCAACCAAAAUGCAAGAAAAAUAUGUUAUGCAUGAUGAUCUAGUGUAUAACAUUCCAAAUUGAAAAUUUGGGAUGUUACAAGUUCACACAACCAGAUGAAGAUACACCCUUUGGACGCCACUUGAAGGAAGUCACUAAAUACCUGAACAUAGGAGUACCAAGCUUCACGGGAACCUACAACGCCACUUUACCUGAAGAAGAGUGCUGGAUGAUUCAAGUUCAAGUUCCAGGAAGGACGUUCAUGCCAGUCACUGAGCCCAUAGAGUUUUCUUUUGAUGCACCAACUUGGAGUCUAGGAAAGAGUAUGGCAGCUCACAUCGCCAUGGGACGCAUUGGCGAAGUCUACCGCAAGGAUCUCAAGGAUGCUAUCUACCAGAUUUGUGGGCGCCGAGAUGAACACUGGGAGAUGAUCAGCACCAGGAAAGAUAGAUCAAUUGCAGCUUUUAUUCAAGAGUUAAAUCAGCACAUUCGACGACAGGAGAAUCAGAUGUGCGCCGACAUGAUAGAUCUGAAGAAGGCUAAGACUAGAAUCAAGGAACUGGAGGAAGAACUCAAGGCUACGCGUGAAGAUUAUGAAGAAGAAAUUGAAGUAUUGGUGGAGAAGAACGACGAUCUGAUCAAGAAGAUUGGCAUAUUUAUGGGAGGCCCGACACCAGUAGAUGAAGACGAAGAACCCAAGGAGAUUAGCCCGGAGGACUACAUCAUCAUCGACGGCACCGACUCGGAAGCAGAUAGUAGCAAUGAUGACUAUGUUGAUGACACAUGAGCAGAUAUCAUGGAGUCUACAACCGUAGAAUAUUUCUAGUAGACCACCUCAUCAGUAGUAGUAGUCCACCAUGUAAAUUUAGUAGUCCGAGCACUCUUGCGAUAGCUAGAUCGAUUGUAUGUCCUUGUUUGAUUGAAUGAAGUGAAUUGUUUGCUUUUGCCUCAUGUGCAUAUGUGUAGUGUUUUCUCUUUAGACCCCCUCUAUUCUUAUAUCUCAUCUUUUCUAAACCCUCAGAUGCCUCCGAGACGUGACCCCGGAUUUGCCUUCCCGCCGGAGCUCACCCAGUUGAUCCAGCAGCAGAACACCUUGAUGCAGUUGCUAGUUCAGAAUCAGAAUCAGGGGAACAACAACAACAACCCACCACCACCACCACCACCUGUUGACCACUUAGCCCAUUUUCUUAGGCUAAAUCCGCCGGUGUUUUCCAGUAGCACCGAGCCGAUAGUACCAGAUGAUUGGCUCCGCAAGAUAGCUAGGGAGUUGACCACAGCAGGAUGCACAAAUGCGGAGAAGGUGAAGUUUGCCACACAUCAGUUAGAAGGACCUGCAGCAUCCUGGUGGGAGAAUUUCACAGCCACCUUCCCCGUCGACACUGUCACAUGGGACCAGUUUCAGCAGGCUUUCUGUACUGCCCAUGUUUCAGCAGGAGCAAUGGCCAUGAAGAAGCGUGAGUUUCGUAACUUGUGCCAAGGAGGACGGACAGUUGGCCAGUAUGUGGAGGAGUUUAGUAAGCUAGCAUGUUAUGCCUUAGAUGACGUUGCUACGGAUGUAGCUAAGCAGGAGAAAUUCCUGGAAGGACUGAAUGAUGAGUUGAGUAUGCAGUUGAUGGUAGCCACCUUCAACAACUACCAGGAGUUGGUAGAUCGUGCUCUUAUGAUUGAAGGGAAGCAGCAACAAAUUGAGAACCGCAAGAGAAAGUAUGGACAAGGAAAGUAUAAUUCAGGAGCUCAGCAGAAGCCACGUUUUACCCCUAGACCGGGAGGACAUUUUCAGCAUACCCAUGGUGUAGGUAGCUCGCACAAUCACAAUGGCACCAAGAAUGGUAAUGGGAAUGGAGGAAGCAAUGGCCAGAAUCGCAGCACCCCAUCAACCCCAGCCAAGAGAGAUCUGAGUCAAGUCACCUGUUUCAAGUGUUCCAAGACCGGACAUUAUGCCAAUGAAUGUCCUGAAGGCCAAAACGGCAAUGGAAGCUAUGGAAAGAAGCCGAACCCUUUCAACAGGGGACAGGUGAACCACGUUAAUGUGGAGGAGGUUGAAACUCAGCCCGAUGCAGUAAUAGGUAAGUUUUCGGUUAAGUCAUUUACUGCACUCGUUCUUUUUGAUACUGGUGCAUCGCAUUCAUACAUCUCAAGGGGAUUUGUGGAUAAGUAUAACCUACCAACCCAAGCCCUUAGGUCACCCAUGUUAGUAACCUCGCCAGGAGCAGAGUAUGUGGCUAGUCUAUGGUGUGAUCGGUUACCAUUAAGGAUUGGUAACUAUGUUUUUCCCUCAGACCUAGUAGUAUUGGAAUCUCAAGGAUUGGAUGUGAUAUUAGGCAUGGAUUGGUUAUCAAAGUAUGAAGGGAAUAUUGAGUGUGCUAGUAAGUCAAUUUUGCUUACCACACCAGAAGGGAGAAGGAUCAAUUAUGUAUCCCGGCAUGUGCCAAAGAGGACACAAGUAAAUUCCUCAUCAGGAGUUGUGCAGGAGGAAGUACCAGUGGUAAAGGAUUUUCCUGAUGUAUUUCCAGAAGAGUUGCCAGGCAUGCCACCGGAUAGAGACAUUGAGUUUUUGAUUGAGCUUUUGCCAGGCACUGGGCCAAUAUCAAAGCGACCAUAUAGGAUGCCAGCAAAAGAUUUGGUGGAAAUUAAGAAGCAGAUUAAGGAGUUACUGGAUAAGGGAUAUAUUCGCCCAAGUUCUUCGCCUUGGGGAUCACCAGUACUUCUAGUGGAGAAGAAGGAUGGAUCGUUAAGGCUGGUUGUUGAUUAUCGAGGACUGAACGAAGUAACGAUCAAGAACAAGUACCCACUACCAAUGAUCAACGAUCUGUUUGAUCGAUUGCAAGGAGCUAAAGUAUUUUCCAAGAUCGAUUUGCGAUCAGGAUACCACCAGUUGAAGAUUCGAGAACAGGAUAUUCUGAAGACAGCUUUUACCACCAGGUAUGGGCUGUAUGAGUAUACCGUUAUGUCAUUUGGUCUGACUAACGCGCCUGCCUAUUUUAUGAACAUGAUGAACAAAGUGUUUAUGGAGUUUUUGGAUAAGUUCGUCGUAGUGUUCAUUGAUGAUAUCCUGGUAUAUUCGAAGAAUGAAGAGGAGCAUAAGGAGCAUUUGCGCUUGGUACUUGGAAAGCUCAGAGAACACCAAUUAUAUGCCAAGUUCAGCAAAUGUGAGUUUUGGUUGAAGGAAGUAGGAUUCCUCGGACACGUUAUAUCCGGAGAAGGUAUAGCAGUAGAUCCCGCUAAAGUUGAAACCGUGACCAAGUGGGAAGCCCCAACAACCGUUGGAGAGAUCCGGAGUUUUCUUGGACUCGCGGGAUACUACCGGAGGUUUAUUGAGAAUUUCUCAAAGAUUGCGAAGCCUAUGACGGAGUUGCUGAAGAAGGAUACUAAGUUCAAAUGGACUAAGGAGUGUGAGGCAAGUUUUCAGGAAUUGAAGAACCGUUUGGUUACCUCACCAGUGUUGAUUUUGCCAGAUCAAACCAAGGAUUAUGAGGUGUAUUGCGACGCUUCACGUCGAGGACUUGGAGCAAUGCUUAUGUAGGAAGGGAGAGUUGUUUCAUAUGCCUCAAGACAACUAAAGCCCCAUGAGUUGAAUUACGCUACGCAUGAUUUGGAGUUAGCAGCCGUAGUGCAUGCAUUGAAGACAUGGAGACAUUUCCUCAUUGGAAAUCAUUGUGAGGUGUACACGGAUCACAAGAGUUUGAAGUACAUUUUCACGCAGAAGGAGUUGAACCUCAGACAAAGGAGAUGGUUGGAGCUCAUCAAGGAUUAUGAUAUGAGAUUGCAUUAUCAUCCCGGGAAGGCUAAUGUAGUAGCUGAUGCAUUAAGCCGCAAGAGCCAUGUCAAUACAUUAAUGACGGGAGAAAUACCCAAGGAGUUAGCAGAAAAUCUUCGUGAACUAUGUGUGGAAAUAGUUCCGAGAGGCUAUGUAGCAGCGCUGGAAAUUCAGUCAACUUUGAUGGAUAGAAUCAGAGAAGCUCAGAAAACUGACAAAGAGAUUGCCGCUAUAAAGGAGAAACUAAGCAAAGGAAAAGCUAAAGGAUUUCAUGAGGAUGAGCACGACACCCUAUGGUUUGAAGACCGUGUUUAUGUACCCAAUGACCCAGAGAUCAGAAAGUUGAUUCUACAAGAGGCACAUGAUUCACCGUAUUCGAUUCACCCAGGAAAUACCAAGAUGUAUUUGGAUUUGAAGGAUAUUUUCUGGUGGACCGGAAUGAAGAAGGAUAUUGCGGAGUAUGUAGCAGUCUGUGACGUAUGUCAGAGAGUAAAGGCAGAGCAUCAAAAGCCAGCAGGAUUGUUGCAACCAUUGCCGAUACCCGAAUGAAAGUGGGAUAAGCUAGGCAUGGAUUUUAUCACGAGAUUACCAAGGACUCGUUCAGGCUAUGACUCGAUUUGGGUUGUAGUUGAUCGAUUGACGAAGGUAGCUCAUUUCAUCCCAGUAAAGACCACUUACACCAGUGCUAAGUUGGCAAAGAUAUACAUGACCAGGAUCGUAUGUUUGCAUGGAGUUCCGAGGAGCAUCGUAUCAUAUAGAGGAACCCAGUUUACCUCAAAGUUCUGGAAGCAGUUGCAUGAGAAUUUGGGUACUAGGCUAGAAUUUAGUACAGCUUUUCAUCCGCAGACAGAUGGACAGACCGAGAGAGUCAAUCAGAUUUUGGAGGAUAUGCUGAGAGCUUGUGCGCUAGAUUAUGGAUCUAGUUGGGACGAUAAUUUGCCAUAUGCAGAGUUCUCUUACAAUAAUAGCUAUCAGACCAGUUUGAAGAUGGCCCCUUUCGCAGCUCUGUACGGAAGGAGGUGCAAGACACCGUUGUCAUGGGACGAAGUUGGAGACCGUCAGUUGUUUGGACCUGACUUGAUUAAGGAGUCUGAACAGAAGGUGAAGUUGAUUCGCGAUAGGCUCAAGGUAGCCCAGUCCAGGCAGAAGAGCUACGCAGAUUCUAAACGCAAAGAGACAGUUUACGAAGUCGGAGAUAGAGCUUAUCUUCGAGUAUCCCCACUUCGAGGGAUUAAUCGCUUUGGAGUUAAGGGGCAGUUAGCGCCAUGAUUUGUAGGGCCAUAUCGAGUUUUGGAGCGUAUGGGAGAAGUGGCUUACAAGUUGGAAUUGCCAGGAGGAUUGACAGGAGUUCAUGAUGUGUUCCACGUUUCUCAGUUGAAAAAGUGUCACGCGGAGAUGGCUGACAUACCUUUGAGAGACACAGUGCCAUUGGAAGCAAUUCAGUUGGAUAACGAUUUGACCUAUGAGGAGAAACCAGUCAAGAUUCUCGAGUUUGCCAGCCGAGUCACUCGCAGCAAGGUUAUCAAGUUUUGCAAAGUUCAGCGGAGCCACCACAAGGAGGAUGAAGCCACCUGGGAGCGAGAGGAAGAUUUGCUCAAGGACCACCCUCACCUAUUUUCUAGCCAACCCGAAUCUCGAGGGCGAGAUUCAUCUUAAGAGGGGUAGGUUUAUAACAUCCCAAAUUUUCAAUUUGGAAUGUUAUACAUUAGAUCAUCAUGCAUAUCAUAUUUUAUUUUGCUUUUGGUUUUGAUCCUAGAAAGUCCUAAGCAACUCAAGGACCCACGGAGAGAGUUGGGGAUUUCGUUAUUUACAUAUUUGAGUUUUCUCAAAUUUUGUAAACAGGAUUAUUUGAUUUUAUUUAUUUUAUCAUCAAUUAUUUCUAUUACAAAAAUAUGAGAGAGGGAAUAAAAUGACUUUUCCAAAAUAUAGAAAUAUUGAGGAUUUAAUAAAAAAUCAAAUAAGAUUUAUUUUGGAGUUUUUCGGUAUUUUUAUUUGAAUUUAGGAAAAAUACGCGUUUUUCAAAGUUGUAGUUUGGGCCCAGAUAAAUGUUCACUUUAUCGGGCUUGAUUUUAGAAACCCGGGAAAAUUUAUUUCAGGAUUUUUGGAGUCCGUUUAGUAUUUCUUUUUAUUUUUUUUCCAAGCGUAAUUAUUAAAAAAACGGAACCGACCUUGGGCCGUACUCGGCCAGGACUCCGCAUGGCCGAGGCCUUUAUAAGGUGCCGCCCCGGGGCCCGAGAGCCCAGCCGCCCCAGCCCCAAACCCUAGCGCCCAGCCGCCGCCGCCGCCGCCAGCCGCCGCCGCCNNNNNNNNNNNNNNNNNNNNNNNNNNNNNNNNNNNNNNNNNNNNNNNNNNNNNNNNNNNNNNNNNNNNNNNNNNNNNNNNNNNNNNNNNNNNNNNNNNNNNNNNNNNNNNNNNNNNNNNNNNNNNNNNNNNNNNNNNNNNNNNNNNNNNNNNNNNNNNNNNNNNNNNNNNNNNNNNNNNNNNNNNNNNNNNNNNNNNNNNNNNNNNNNNNNNNNNNNNNNNNNNNNNNNNNNNNNNNNNNNNNNNNNNNNNNNNNNNNNNNNNNNNNNNNNNNNNNNNNNNNNNNNNNNNNNNNNNNNNNNNNNNNNNNNNNNNNAUCCGCCGGAGCCGUGCGUCGCCCAAGGUUCGCCGCCUCGACUUCCAUGCCGUUAAAAAAAAUCCGUUCGUCGUUUUCUUUUUCGUCGGAAUUUUCCGCGGUUAUUUUCUGAUCGCGAUUUCUGAUCCGAUUUUCAUUUUAGUAUAACUUUUCGCUCGUUUAUCGGAAUCAGGCGAUUCAAGCGCCUGGAGUUUCGUCUCGAAACCCUCUUUCCGAAUAAUCAACUUAAACAAGUUUUUGCUACUGUAAAAUUUGACAUAGAUCUAGAUUACUAGAACGAAGUUGUUUUCUUUCGCCGUUUGAUUUCUUUUGCUUCGUUCGAUUUGAUUCUUUUUGCAAACCAGGGUUCUUAAGUUGAACUUUCUGGUUAGAUCUUCUAUUUGAGUUUUACCUGUGCAUUAGAUGAGUACUUAUUGUAUGCUUGUUUGUUUGUCUGCGAUAGAAUACCCGGAGUGCGCUGCCUGUUACUUUGAAUCUCCAGGUUUCGCAGAUCAUCAGCAAGGCAAGUAACACUUUGAUCAUACCUUUUUUCGACAACCCAGUUUUAUUGCAUUAGAUCAAUCCUCACACAUUGCAUGAUCAGGAUCUAAUUAAAUUGUGGGAUGGGAAGUAGAUGAGGUAGUACCUAUUACCUGUUUAUUUUCAAACCCUUGGGAGUUACUAUUACGUUAUGCUUAUAUUGCCAUGCUAUGCUAGUAGACGUGGAUUGGGUGAGUGAUAUCCAUGACAGAUGUGAGAUUGUUAAUUAAGGGUUUAUCUAAGGUGGCAACCUAAACACACAUCUGGGUGGAUUGAGGCACCUGGGUAUUCCAGGACUUGCCUGUUUUCUUUUGGACCGCCACCCAGGCUCAAAGGGGUCAUGAGAUUAUUCAUACUAGAAACUUCCGUGUGCACCCACAAGCCAUUAUGGGCUCUGGCAUAGUUGAUUAAGUUAUGCGAACUCUUACAGUGGUAUACUAGCAGAUGUAGGGGAUGUAGGUGGUACGGUCUACCCGAUCGUAAGGUGCUAGCGCUUCUGAAAGACUAUGUCUCGGUCAUCCGUUUCUCAAACACCAUGUAGUGCGAGAAAUCCAACGGAGGCGAUCGAGUCUUGUGGGGAAAAGUGCGCAAACCUCUGCAGAGUGUAAUAAACUAAUCAUGGUUAGCCGUGUCCCCGGUUAUGGACAUCUUGAAUAUCUAGUACCUGGAUUAUCAUGUGAAUCUCAACAUGUUACUCUAAAGUAAAUUUUGUUGGGUUUAAUGAUGUUACUUUAAUUGGGAUUGAGAAUGCUGUCAACCAUUCUCAAUGUUUAACAACCACCAUGAUAGUAAUUAAAUUUAUUCCUUUGUAGUAGGGAAAAACUGGCUUUACGCAAAGACUGUAACCAUAGAGCUUUCCACCAGCCAAAUAUGCAUGUAGUAUAGCUGUUGCAUUCAAUUACUCUCUAUGUGUUACCUUGCCAGCAUAUUCCAUGUGCUGACCCAUUCUCGGGCUGCAACGUUAAUGUUGCAGAUUUUUCAGACAACGAUUAAGGAGUUUUUAGGUCGUGGUUCUAUACUCAGUGAUGCCGUUGGAGUUGAUGGACUCACUUAUCUUCCAAGCCUUCCGCUGUUAUCGUUAUUAGAUGGCCUUAAGCCAUAUUUAUUGUAAUAAGUUCUCUUUUGAGACACUCGAUGUAAUAAGUGUGUGAUUGCUACUCUGCUAUAAAUCCUUCGAGUACUGUGUGGUGUCAGCAUUACUGAUCCAGGGAUGACACCGGAGCACAGAGAUCAGACUGUUUGAGGUCUGGUCGCUACAACCAGAGAUGGGCCAGAAAAGUCCCGAGGCCACCACAAGGGUGGGGGGCGCGCCCUACCCCCCUGGGCGCGCCCCUACCUCGUGGCCGCCUCGGACACCCCCCUGACUUGUUCCCGACGCGAAAACCUCUUAUAUAUACCCAAACUUCUAGAACAUAGCCUAGAUCGGGAGUUCCACCGCCACAAGCCUCUGUAGCCACCGAAAACCAAUCUAGACCCGUUCCGGCACCCUGCCGGAGGGGGGAAUCCCUCUCCGAUGGCCAUCUUCAUCAUCCCGGCGCUCUCCAUGACGAGGAGGGAGUAGUUCACCCUCGGGGCUGAGGGUAUGUACCAAUAGCUAUGUGUUUGAUCUCUCUCUUGUUUUCUUGAUUCGGCACGAUCUUGAUGUAUCGCGAGCUUUGCUAUUAUAGUUGGAUAUUAUGAUGUUUCUCCCCCUCUACUCUCUUGUAAUGGAUUGAGUUUUCCCUUUGAAGUUAUCUUAUUGGAUUGAGUCUUUAAGGAUUUGAUAACACUUGGUGUAUGUCUUGCAUGUGCUUAUCUGUGGUGACAAUGGGAUAUCACGUGAUCCACUUGAUGUAUGUUUUGGUGAUCAACUUGCGAGUUCUGUGACCUUGUGAACUUAUGCAUAGGGGUUGGCACACAUUUUCGUCUUGACUCUCCGGUAAAAACUUUGGGGCACUCUUUGAAGUUCUUUGUGUUGGUUAAAUAGAUGAAUCUGAGAUUGUGUGAUGCAUAUCGUAUAAUAAUACCCACGGAUACUUGAGGUGACAUUGGAGUAUCUAGGUGACAUUAGGGUUAUGGUUGAUUUGUGUCUUAAGGUGUUAUUCUAGUACGAACUCUAGGAUAGAUUGAACGGAAAGAAUAGCUUCAUGUUAUUUUAAUACGGACUCUUGAAUAGAUCGAUCAGAAAGGAUAACUUUGAGGUGGUUUUGUACCCUACAAUAAUCUCUUCGUUUGUUCUCCGCUAUUAGUGUCUUUGGAGUGACUCUUUGUUGCAUGUUGAGGGAUUUUUAUAUGAUCCAAUUAUGUUAUUAUUGUUGAGAGAACUUGCACUAGUGAAAGUAUGAACCCUAGGCCUUGUUUCCUAGCAUUGCAAUACCGUUUGUGCUCACUUUUAUUAUUAGUUACCUUGCUGUUUUUAUAUUUUCAGAUUACAAAAACCUAUAUCUACCUUCCAUAUUGCACUUGUAUCACCAUCUCUUCGCCGAACUAGUGCACCUAUACAAUUUACCAUUGUAUUCGGUGUGUUGGGGACACAAGAGACUCUUUGUUAUUUGGUUGCAGGGUUGCUUGAGAGAGACCAUCUUCAUCCUACGCCUCCCACAGAUUGAUAAACCUUAGGUCAUCCACUUGAUGGAAAUUUGCUAAUGUCCUACAAACCUCUGCACUUGGAGGCCCAACAACGUCUACAAGAAGAAGGUUGUGUAGUAGACAUCAUUGAGAAAUAGAAUAUCCCUUUUCUUAGGAGUUGGCUUAGGAGUUGGUUCAGGAAGUGUCAAAUCAUUAUCAUUACUCAAUAUAUUAUUCAAUAGCAAUUCAGCUUGCUCAACAGUUCUUUCCUUAAAAACACAACCAACACAAUUAUCCAAGUGGUCUCUGGAAGCAUCGGUUAGUCCAUUAUAAAAGAUAUCAAGUAUUUCAUUUUUCUUAAGAGGAUGAUCAUGCAAAGCAUUAAGUAAUCAGAGAAGCCUCCCCAAGCUUGUGGGAGACUCUCUUUUUCAAUUUGCACAAAAUUAUAUAUUUCCCUUAAGGCGGCUUGUUUCUUAUGAGUGGGGAAAUAUUUAGCAGAGAAUUAAUAAAUCAUAUUCUGGGGACUACACACACAACCAGGAGCAAGAGAAUUAAAUCAUGUUUUAGCAUCACCCUUUAAUGAGAACGGAAAUAACUUAAGGAUAUAGUAGUAACGAAAUUUUUCCUCAUGAGUGAAUAGGGUGGCUACAUCAUUCAAUUUAGUAUGAUGUGCCAUAAUAGUUUUAGAUUCAUAGCCAUAAAAAGGAUCAGAUUCAACCAAAGUAAUUAACUCAGGAUCGAUAGAGAAAUCAUAAUCCUUAUCAGAAAUACAGAUAGGUGAAGUAGCAAAAGCAGGGUCAUAUUUCAUUCUAGCAUUCAAAGACUUCUCUUUCAGCUUAGCUAACAAUUUCUUAAGACCAUAUCUAUCUUUGCAAGCAAAAAUGUCUCCAGCAGUUUCUUCAUCCAUAACAUAACCCUCAGGCACAUCAGGCAAUUCAUAUCUAGUGGGGUAAUCUUCAUCAUCACUUUCAUCAAUAUUAUCUGUUUUAAUAAUUUCAUUCUCUCUAACCCUAGCAAGUUGUUCAUCAAGAAAUUCACCCAAUGGCACAAUUUUAUCAAGUAUAGAAAUAGUUUCAUCAUAAGCAUCAUGCAUAGCAGAAGUGGCAUCAUCAAUAACAUGCGACAAACCAGAAUCAAUAAUAGGUGUAGGUGUCGCAAAUUUACUCAUAACAGAAGGUGAAUCAAGUGCAGAGCUAGAUGGCAGUUCCUUACCUGCCCUCGUAGUUGAGGGAAAAAUCUUGGUUCUUUCAUCUUUCAAGUUCCUCAUAGUGAUCAACAAAUAUAAAUCCCAAGUGACUCAAAGAAUAGAGCUAUGCUCCCUGGCAACGGCACCAAAAAAUAGUCUUGAUAACCCACAAGUAUAGGGGAUCGCAACAGUUUUCGAGGGUAGAGUAUUCAACCCAAAUUUAUUGAUUCGACACAAGGGGAGCCAAAGAAUAUUCUCAAGUAUUAGCAGUUGAGCUGUCAAUUCAACCACACCUGAAAGACUUAAUAUCUGCAGCAAAAUAUUAAGUAGCAAAGUAGUAUGGAAGUAACGGUAAUAGUGGCAAAAGUAACAGUAGCAGUUUUUGUAGCAAUCGUAACAGUGGCAACGGAAAAGUAACUAAGCAAAGAUCAAUAUGCGAAAAUCUCGUAGGCAGUGGAUCAAUGAUGGAUAAUUAUGUCGGAUGCGAUUCCUCAUGCAACAGUUAUAACAUAGAGUGACACAGAACUAGCUCCAAUUCAUCAAUGUAAUGUAGGCAUGUAUUCCGAAUAUAGUCAUACAUACUUAUGAAAAAGAAUUUACAUGACAUCUUUUGUCCUACCCUCCUGUGGCAGCGGGGUCCUAUUAGAAACUAAAGGAUAUUAAGGUCUCCUUUUAAUAGAGUACCGGACCAAAGAUUAACACUUAGUGAAUACAUGAACUCCUCAAACUACGGUCAUUACCUGGAGUGGUCCCGAUUAUUGUCACUUCGGGGUUGACGAAUCAUAACACAUAGUAGGUGACUAUUGACUUGCAAGAUAGGAUCAAGAAAUCACAUAUAUUCAUGAAAACAUAAUAGGUUCAGAUCUGAAAUCAUGGUACUCGGGCCCUAGUGACAAGCAUUAAGCAUAGCAAAGUCAUAGCAACAUCAAUCUUAGAACAUAAUGGAUACUAGGGAUCAAACCCUAACAAAACUACCUCGAUUACAUGGUAAAUCUCAUCCAACCCAUCACAGUCCAGCAAGCCUACAAAGGGAUUACUCACGCACGGCGGUGAGUAUCAUGAAAUUGGUGAUGCAGGAUGGUUGAUGAUGAUGAUGGCGACAGUUUCCCCUCUUCGGAGCCCCGAACGGACUACAGAUCAACCCUCCCAAGGAAGAUUAGGGCUUGGCGGCGGCUCCGUAUCGUAAAACGCAAUGAAUCCUUCUCUUUGAUUUUUUCCUCCCCGAAAGUGAAUAUAUUGAGUUGGGGUUGAGGUCGGUGGAGUCCCAGGGGGGCCACGAGGCAGGGGGCGCACCCCAGGGGGGGCGCCCUGCACCCUCGUGGACUGGGUGUGGCCCCCUGAUGCUGAUUCUUUCACCAAUAAUUUUCAUUAAUUCCAAAACGUGUCUCCGUAGAUGUUUAGGUCAUUCUUUGAACUUUUAUCUCUGCACAAAAAUAACAUCAUGGCAAUUUUGCUGAAAACAACGUCAGUCCGGGUUAGUUUCAUUCAAUUCAUGCAAGUUAGAGUUCAAAACAAGGGCAAAAGUGUUUGAAAAAGUAGAUACAUUGGAGACAUAUCACACACCAACAUGAAACAACUAGGCAAUUUAACGUAACAAGCAACGUGGUAGGUUAGGAUUAGUGAGAGGAGGAGGAAGUGCCCCACCCCCAUUAAAUUCAGGGGGGAGAGGAUUUAGUUUAGGCAGGUUUAAGCUUUUGUAGGUUUUAGGUAGAUGUAGCAUUAUCGAGAUUGGCGUCCAAUAUGGCCAACGACAUUUGUCGCCCUCAUCUGGCUUAUGCGAAAUCACUAAUUACGGAUACCUUUGUAAAGAUCACUCCCACUUUUUCUCGUCCUAACAAGUGGUGCAUCAUGAGUUUUUCCUUUUUUGUAGAUUCAUUUUUUUUCGAAAAGUUUUAUCUCUUAAACAGUACGUCCAAAUCACGUACCAUUUUACUGUUGGAUUUCUUACGUUGAGAUCUUGAAAACUAGAUCCCAUGCUAGUUGAUUUUGAUGAACUUUUUUCACAAAAAUGCCAAAAAACCAAAAAUAAAAAACCGGAAACAAAAAACAAAAAUAAAAACAAGAAAAAAAAGAAUGAAUGAAAAGACAAAAAAGGGACCCGAAAGCACGAUUGUGUUUCUUUUGCAUUUUUGGAAGUACAACUAUGUUUCUUUUCUUUUCAAGAAGUAUAAUUGUACUGCUCACGAAAACACAGACCGUGCUUUGCCCUUUACGUCUCGUGGAAGCACAUGUCGUGCUUCUUUUUUUGUCGGAGAAGGAGAAUCAUGUUUUUCCCUUUUAGGGAAGCAUGGAUGCAUUUCUCGUGGACGCACAAGCUGUAUUUCUCCUUUUCUCUUGGAAGAAUAACUAUGCUUUUCACUUUUCGAAAAGGAAUAAAUACAAUUGUGCUUCUCAUGGAAGCACAUACUAUACCUUUGUUUUCUUGGGAAGUAUAAUUGUGCUUUUCCUUUUAAUAAAUCACACUUUGCUCCUCGUGAAAGCAUACGCUAUCCUUUUCUUUUCUGGGGAAGCAAAAUCAUGUUUUUUCCUGUUUGAAAAGCACAUGUUAUGCUUCUGGCAGAAAAGCAUGGCUUUUCAAUUUUUUCCAAUCAAAACCUUGGGAAAACCAAGAACAAGCUUGAAAAGAAUUAAAACAUAUGAAUAAUAAGAAGAAAUCUGAAGGUGAGCAAGUGCGUGACACGUGAUGACAACUGGGCGCACUACUUGACGCGCUUCGAUAAAAUCUUAGACUUGAAACUAUCGAUCGCAUUUUCUUGAAUUUGUUUUAGGCCUUCCUGUGAUGUGCGUUCAGUAAGGAAAGACGUUUCUAUCAACUCACGAAGUCGUCAAGUUGUGACGACUUCGUCAAUCUAAGAUGUUGUGUUGGCUCAAUAUUUCAGAGUGUGCGUACGUAUGUUCAGAGAGUACGCCAUGAUGGUUUCGGAAGUGAAGCGUCUUAUGAGUGAAAGGGAGUGUCGUUUUGUUCAUAUUUCUCGAGAGCAGAAAAAUGUAAGUCAUGUGUUGGCUAACUUUGGAAGAACGGAAGACCGUACUGUGGUCUAGCUCUGCUCCGGCCCAAAAAAUAUCCCUAGCUUGUGUAAGGAGGUCCUUUUUAGCUCUUGAGUAAUACAAAUCCCUUUUAUCCUCGCAAAAAAAAGUGUGCGUGCGUGUAUGUGAACAUGUGAUCAUCUGCGUUUUUUCCGUAUUUAAAAGUAACUGGUUUUAUUUAGGGCUUCUGUCGCGGCGUGCCCGUGGGUACGUUGCCAGCGGGCCUGCAUUCGAUUUGGGCUAUGCGCCAGUCGAAAGCACAACCUGGGCUUUUCCUCCCUACGCAGCAACCCGAGCCCAAGUUAAGCAGCCAAAUUCGUCUCAAAAAAAAAAGUUAAGCAGCCAACCACCUCCACUUUCCCGUUGAUCACGCCAUCCCCGCCGCACUUUGUCGCUAAAACCUUUCCGUGUCGACGCGACCAAAUGUCCAAAACCCUAACACACCUACGCAUCGUCGGCCGUGUCCCCACCUGUCAGCGAGAAUUAAAACCCCUCACCGUCUCCCCGAGCGGUGUCGCUGCCUGCAUUUAUUCAUGCUUUGCGGCCCGAUCUCCCAUCCUUUCCCCUCUCCCGAGGUCACCAAAUUUUUACUCGACCGUUCACCCGGCGAAACAACACCCUAGUCCGCCGCCCACAACGAAUUUACCCUCCUCUCCCCACGGUAAUUUUUCAUCCACACGUCGCAAUUUACAGCCGUGCUCUGCUAGCAGGUGAGCGCCCAGUUCACGAGCUGUCGCUGUCCGGCACAGAACACCACCGCUCUCCCCCACCGCAGCCACUCCAACGAGUUCCCUCCGCCGACGGCGUGACCAAACCCUAGCUCGAGCCUCGCCGGGAGUGCCGUCCGGCGUCGGGUCCCUGUCGCGGCCGAUGGCUGAGGACGGCGAGGAGAAGCUGCUGGCCACGGUGCAGCACAUCGCCAAGACGCUGGGCCGCACCGGCACCAUGACGGAGGACAUACUCAAGGUCUUCUCCAACUACGACGGCCGCCUCUCGCUCGACAAGCUCUACGCCGCGGCGGCCGCGGCCGGAGGAGGAGGAGGAGGAGGGGCCGUGGAGCACUCGAUGUCGAUGCCGGCCUCCUCGCCGCCGCCCGUGCUGCCCUCGGCCGCGGCGGCGGCGAUGCCGGCGCCGGUCACGUCGCUGGAGCGGACCGUGCGCACGCUGGACCGGCAGAUCUCGCAGUUCGUGACCAUGGAGAGGCUCGUCUGGGCCGACUCCGCCGACGCCGACGCCUUCCUGGAGGCGGUGGACGACCUCAUCGGCACCGUGCAGGAGCUGGACGCGGCGGGGACCAACCGCGGGCUGCUCGACCGCGCCGACGAGCUGCUCAGCCGGUGCAUGGCCCGGCUGGAGGACGAGUUCCGGGCGCUCAUCGAGCGCCCCGACGACGCGGCCCCGGCGGCGCCCGGCGGGUUCGACUCCGAGCAGAGCGACGACGAGGACUACGACGCGGACGACGGCUACGGCGACGAGCCCAUCCCCAUCGCCAAGCCGGUCACGGAUUUCGACGUGGUCAUCGACGCCCUGCCCCCGGGGUCCGUCUCCGACGUGCACCAGAUCGCGCGGAGGAUGGUGGACGCGGGCUUCGGCCGCGAGUGCGCCGAGGCCUACGCGGCCGCGCGCCGCGGGUUCAUCGACGAGAGCGUCGCGCGCCUCGGCAUCCGCUCGCGCACCUCCGACGAGGUCCACUCCCUGCCCUGGGAGGAGCUCGAGUUCGACAUUGCGCGGUGGAUCCCGGCCUUCAAGAUGGUGUUCCGCAUCCUCAUCCCCAGCGAGCGCCGCCUCUCCGACCGUGUCUUCGAGGGCCUCGCCCCCUACGGCGACCUCGCCUUCGUCGCCGCGGUACGCACCCAGGCGCUGCAGCUCAUCUCGUUCGGCGACGCGGUUGCCGCUGCCAGCCGCGCGCCGGAGCGCCUCUUUCGUGUCAUCGACAUGUACGAGGCGGUGCGCGAUCUCCUCCCCGACCUCGACCCUGUUUUCGCCGACCCCUACUCCGCAGCGCUCCGCGCCGAGGUCUCUGCUGUGUGCAACACCCUCGGCUCCUCCAUCAAAGGUAUAUUCAUGGAGCUGGAGAAUCUUAUCCGCCGUGACCCGGCUCGCGUUGCGGUGCCUGGCGGCGGCAUACACCCAAUCACUCGCUAUGUCAUGAACUAUCUCCGUGCCGCAUGUGGUUCAAGACAGACACUGGAAGAGGUGAUGGAAGGUGACCUGGGUGCUCUCGGCGUGACCGCCAUUGCCGUCGAUCCUGACCGCCCCACUUCGUCGCUCGCGGUGCACAUUGCGUGGAUCAUGGACGUGCUUCACAAGAAUCUGGAGAGCAAAUCCAAGAUAUACAGGGACCCGCCGCUGGCCUCCAUCUUCUUGAUGAAUAAUGGCAAGUACGUCAUCCACAAGGUGAAUGACAGUGAGCUUGGGGUUUUACUCGGCGAUGACUGGAUGAAGCAGAUGUUGAGCAGAGUGCGCCGGUGGAGUAUGGAGUACCAGCGCGGGGCGUGGGCGAAGGUGAUGUCGGUGCUGCAGACCGGAGGCUCUGGGUUUUCUGGUCUCCCACCGAAGGCCAUGCUUCAGAAACUUCAGAUGUUCAAUGGCUACCUGGAGGAGAUUCGGGCGGCCCAGUCCGAGUGGGUGAUCACGGAUGAUCAGCUGCGCGCCGAUGUUAAGGCAGCAAUAGCAGAUUCGGUGCUGCCUGCAUACAAGGGCUUGAUUGCGAGGCUGAGAUCGUCUCCAGAUCCUCCGCAGGAUCUGUUCAUCAAGCAUACCCCAGAGGAUGUUGAGGCAUGCAUCCAACAUUUGUUUGAAGGAAUUGGGAAAUGAUUGGUUAUCUUGUACUGUAGCAUCUUAUUGGUCGUGCCUGUGAUUUUCGUAUCAUCAUUAAAGUACUGUUGUGGCCGAUAUCUGAAGUUCUGAACAUGGAUAAUGGGGAAAUAAUGGUACCACUUUGGGUUUGAUGGUGUUUUGCCAUGAGGUUAGGCUUUAUAUUAGACGCGCAAAUCAUUGUCUUCUCCAACUGUGUAAAUUAUUGUAGGCAUUUCUCUGUCAGUUGUUAAUGGUAGUCUUAUUCAAAACAUUAUCUGUCUUCUUAUUUAUCGUGUUUCAGUGCCUGGUUGUUCAGGUGAUGAAGGAGAAACGCUUAUCUUAAGUCAGAUCUGCCAAGCUUGGCUGUUGUCUGUUGUGAUUGCGUGUGUGUGACCCAACUUUUAUGAUGGUUAGCCUAGUAGUAUGGUUAUUAUAGAAAGCAUGCAAGUUAAUCUGGUCCCUCUCUCCUAUGGGUGUGAUAUGCCCUGAGCAGAUGGGUCUGUAUUUCUCUUGUAUUUUUUUUUCUUUUUUAACAAUUUGCAAUGAUAUUUUCCCUUCAAUUUCUGAAAAAACUCUGUCAUAAAGUUAUUCAAAUGAAAGGUUGUGGCUAAGGCCACAACUCUUGAAAAUUCAGUUGUCAACACAAGUGUAUAUUCUUUUUGUAAAGCCCAUAUGGGAUAACGGGUCUUCUCUUUAUCAUUUACUCCCUACUAACUUUGUACUAAAUCAACGACACUUAUUUCUGAAUGGAGUACAAUUUUGCGCUGUUUGUGGAAGCAUGCCUUUUGACUCUUGAAUGACUGGUGUUCCUUCUCUAAAUUAAUCACUUGAUGCUUUCAAAUUACUCUUCAUUAAACUGUUGAAUGCUGCUAUCCUGAAGUAAGUUCGUUUUGACCCUUCGACAAAUAGAGUUUGUCAUUUACUGAAUACCUCGUCUGUGUGUACAUAUGCUGAUAUCAUGCACGACCGAUGCUCCUUUUGCUAAAAUGGUGUUCUGAGCUUGUGCACUAUUUUGGAAUAUCAAAUAACUGCACAUGUAGUUAUAUAUCUUAGUGCCACAGUAGGUGAAGAAUGUUCUGUUCCUCAGUCUCUGAAUUUGCCUUCACUGUGGUUUGUUUUGAACUCAUUCUUUCAGAAUGUGAGACAUUUUAACUAGUCAACUUUGUCAGCUGCAGAUUAUUGAUUGGACUGGAUACCACAUUCCUCUUUUAUAUGCUUGCACGGAGGAGUUGGGACUUGAGAGCUCCAUUCAUUCACAAGUUACAGAUCUAUUUGAGGUGAGAAUGGUUACUCCCAAUCAGUUCCCUUCUCUAGCUUCUCGAGUUUACAUAACCUGAUCAUGGUGUUAUGCCUUUGACUUUUUAGUUUCCUUUCAUAAAUUAAUUGCUGAGAAUGCUGAGCUUGCUAUAUUGUGUAUAACAUAACAAAUGAAACACAUGUUAUGCCUUUGAUUUCUUGAUCUUCUUUCUUAAUUAAUUGCUGAGAAUGCUGAGCUUACCAUAUUGUGUAUAACAUAACAAACGAAACACAUGUUAUGCCUUUGAUUUCUUGAUUUCCUUUCUUAAAUUAAUUUCUGAGAAUGCUGAGCUUAUCAUAUUGUGUAUAACAUAACAAAGGAAACACAUGCCAGUGACUCUUUCUUACAAGGCAGACUUCAAGUAAAAGCCAAAAGAUCGAACCAAACGCAUUAGGUUAAUUCGUUAAUGCAAUGAGAAAAAAUAUAUCUUAUUUGAGCAUUUGAUUCUUUAAAACUGUGGAAUUACAUUUUUCACUAUGUAAUCGGUUGCUAUCCUAUAAACCCUCUCUGUUGGGUGCACCGCAUCAUAAAAUACAUAGGAUGACGCAUUCCUGCAGAUAGGGGUAAAUCUGUUGCAAAGUAUUCCGACCUCUGUGAGCCCAGUCCCACAACAUCCCAGUGUUGUCUCUGUAAAUCCUGUUAUCAUGGCAAAGUCGAUGAGAACUGGUAUAAUUACAAGAAAGCAUGUAGGGUGACAAGAAUAACUCAAACUGAUAACUCUGCUUUCUGCCAUUAAACUGUUAGCUUUUUGGCUUUCUUCUAAAAGCUUCUAGUUGUACAUGGCCAAGUAUAUCACCAUGCUUUAAUAAUUCUUCUUUGGCUAGGAUUAUGAUGCAAUCUUGGUGUUUUCCAGCUGAACUAACUAUUUGUAGCUUGCUAAUUCUGAUUUAGCUACUAUUACUCAGUGUAGUUAGUUCUGAAUAAAAACACCAAGAAAGCAGUAGUUAGUUCUUGGUGUUUUUAUUCAGAACUGAUUACUGCUUUCUUGGUGUUUUUAUUCAGAAAUAACUAAUCAGUGUAGUUAGUUCUGAAUAAAAACACCAAGAAAGCAUAUUAAUCAUAGCUAAAGCAGAAUUAGCAAGCUACCGUGGAGUAUUAGUGAUCUUAGAGGUGUCCACUGUUACUAGAUAUAAGUUGGGAAUCAUGACAUUUACUUGAAAACGUACCAUAUUUAUUGGUGCCCUGAAGGAUCACCGUCAAAGCUUCGUAGGCGUUCAAGUACACAAUUUUGCUUCCUCUGAGUGAGCCUUGUAAUGUUGGAAUCAACUUCUGAAGUUUGGAGUUGUAGACCUGGGCCUCACUGUUCUGCUCAUCGACACAGCCCCUCUCAAGGUCUCCACUCAAUGUGAUCUGCAAGGGUAUGCAGCCAAAUGGAGGAAGACCUGCCAAGAUGAACUGCCGCCCCCCGAGGUUAUACAGCUCCUGCAUUCCAGUUCAGGUUUUAUUAUUUUGAGAAAAUAAACAUAGUUGUGGUUUAUAUGUUACAGAAUACUUAUAACAGAAGCAGCUUGGUAGACAAAGACCCAGAAUUGCCUAAUUUUACCUUGACAUGAGCACGCACCAACUGGAGCACAGUAUCUUGGUAUUCACCAAUGCCCAGCCUCCUCCUCGAUGAACGGUAGUAAUGAGUGAAAUCAUUGGUUCCCGCGUUGAUGAACAUCAGAGAGCUGGCAAUGAUCCUGGCAGCCUCCUUGUCCCCGGCGAUGCUCCUGAGGCGAGGAAGGUACUCGUCCCUGAAGAGGUCCACCUGCGCCGACAAUGGCAUGGUGUUGGCCAGGUGCGACGUCCGGUCGUCGAACCCGGACCCGGCCGACGCGAAGUUCACCCCCGUCAUGAUGUCCUUGUCGGACAGGCUUCUGUCCAGGAACGGCGGCGCGAACUCCUUGAGCUGCAGCCUCUCGUUGAGGAGGUCCGGUACGAGCCGGCCAUUGGAGAACCUCCCCGUCGGCCUGCUCCCCGGGAAGUCCCUCCCGUAUGGUGGGUGGUUCGCCAGGCCCAGAGUCGGGAUGUGGUUGUUGUUGCCGGUGUCGAAGAUGGAGUCGCCGAAGUAGAAGAUGGCCGGGAACUUUGGCUGCUGGGUUCUCUUGGUGGAUGAAAUGGCGGGGGAAGCAAGGAGGAGGAGGAGCGCCAGGAGGAGGAUGGCAGGGUGCGCCAUGGGAGAGGUUCUUGCCUGGGCUGAGGUUCUAGGCCUCUGCAACUGGUCCUUAGGUAUAAUAUUUCGAGAGCAUCGUGAAUGACUGGUAAUAACUCUGCAAAAGAUCCUGCUGAUUCGUUGUGACUCGCUCACAUCUUCCUGGAGUAAUAUAGUAGCAUUUCUUGCACGAAAUGAAUAUUGGAUACUCUUGUUUUUUUGCAUGAAACUAAUACUCCUGCACUAAUAAGGUGCUCGAUCGGAAGUUUUUCGCAAAGAAAAAGAGGCGCUCCUAAUGGAAAUCCUUAUCUUUCUGGGUACUACUCCUUAUUAUUGGCCCAUGAUGUUGUUGUUUUCGGCAGGAUUGGAGACUUUGUAACCUACUCCUCGUGGGGUGUAUGCGACGCAGGUCGUUGUUGGUUACUGUACAAAGUGGGGAAUUUGGCACAGAGCUACUCCCUCCGUUCCGAAUUACUUGUCUUAGAUUUGUUUAGAUACGGAGGUAUCUAGCACUAAAAUAAGUCUAGAUACAUCGGUAUUUAGACAAAUCCAAGACAAGUAAUUCAGAACGGAGGGAGUAACAUACAACAUUGCUCCCGAGGAGCAACUUAGCCGAAGUAGGAGCGUACACGAAAUGUGGUUGUGCGUGCCAAUCUUUUAAUCGGGCUGCAAAUGUUCUGCUGAUCCACGAAACAUUCUUGUUCUGGAAAAGGGAUUGUGCGCUGCACAAAGAAACAAUGUAGUACGUGCGGACCAGUGUUUUGCUGCGCGACAAACUGUUAUCUGUGUGCCGACUUCUGAUGGGAGGAUGGUGGGUUUGGCGGCAUACGAGUGCCGUGUCGAUGGAUUGGGCAGGGAAGACGGGGUUGGUCAUGCAUGGGAACAAGACGCAAGUUCACGGGCCGGUGGAACUUGUAGCGUACAAUCCUUCCAGAAAUUUUUGAUACGUGAUGGCGACACGGCAACAACGAGUGAUCCGGCAGAAGUCAGAAGCGGGCGAAAUCGAGUUGCGCGGGAGUUUUGGUACCUACUUUUUUUUUUGAGGGGAGUGUUGGUACCUGCUUGGGACUCGCCUGAAGCGCUUCCGUCAAUGGGCCGGCCCAACUAUCGGAUUGCAAAUGUUCCGCUCGUUGCAAUUAUAUUUCUAUCUUCUCUCAAAGCAAUAUAUUUUUCUAUCUAUACUGGCUUGAUUGGUUCAGUUUUCAUACGGUUUUUGUCGGUUUUCUAUGUUAGUUUAUUUCUUCCCCUUUUCAAGUUUUCUUUACGGUUUCCAUUGGACUUAGAACCUUUGGUUGUUUUUUUUCUACAAGUCAUGCGUACCGGUUUUCUGUGUUUUUCUUGCAUUUCUUUCAAUGAUUCUUUUUGUGUUCCUUCAUCUUUUUUCUACGAGUCACGUGUACCGAUUUUCUCCCUUUUUAAUCAAGAUUGUAUAAUCAUUUUAAUAAAAAUGUCACACACAUUAUUUUAGUUGUAUGAAACACUUGUUUUGAAUUACGUCAAGUUUUUUCCCAUCACAUAAUUUAUUUCAAAUACACAAUGAACAUUUUUUUCCUGUAUGCAACACUAACAUUCUUUAUACACAUUUAACAUUUUUCACAUACGUAAUUAACAUUUUUUCAAAUAUAUGUUUUGACAUAUACUUUUUAUCAUACAAUUUUUACAUUUUUCAUGCACAUUACGAAUAUUUUUUAUAAAAUUUAAUAUUUUUCAAAUCCAUGAUUAGGAUUAUUUUUGAACAUAUCUUUUCAUGUCUGCUUUUUCAUACAGGUUUACAUAUUUUGUAUGUAUUGGGAACAUUUCUUAUAUAGGUUUAAUAUUCUUUAAAUACAUGAUUAAAAUUUUUUUCAAAUAUAUUUUUUAUGUCUACUUUUUUCGUACACCAUGUGCAUUUUUAUACAACUUUACCCCUGUUUAAAAUACAUAUUUGUUCAUAUAUAUUUUUUCAUCCACGAUCAAUCGCGGAGCUAGAAAUUUUGUGAAGCCUGUGCAAACUUGAGCCUAAAUAUCUGGUCUAGAACACAAUUGGGUGUUACAGUACACAACGUAUAAAAUAGCUCCAAACAUCUGAGUUUGGUCCAAGGAAGGAGAGAGGGGCAUAGGCCCCCUCAACCUCAACAUAGCUCCGCCAGUGAAUAUGAAGUCAAAAUAUAAACAUAGUAGUCGUGCAAAUGUUGUUAUGACUACUAUGUUUAUAUUUUGCAUGACUACUAUAUCAUAGGACCACGGCCUAGCACUUCCUCUGCACCAAGGCCUGCCUCCGCUUGUCGCCAAUCUGUCUCAAGAUACGUACAAACGGACAGCUAAAGUGCGGACAAGGGUUGUGACUGCUCGUGUUCCUCUCAAGUAAUUAUUCUGGAAAGAGCAAACUUAGCACCCUAUGACUGUUGAACAUUAUGCUUGAUAUAGGCCAAGUUUUUUAAAAAGCAUAAGUGUGAAAAAAUAACUUACAUAAUAUUCCGCUUCAUUAUUAUAAAAACAUCAUUAAGUUUGUGCUAACUUAAAUUUGCCACUAUGAUUGCCAAUAAAAUAAAAUAGUAAUAAUUUCACCAGAAGAGAUCUUAACUGCAAAUUCUCUUUUGAUGUAUAUUAUCAUGAUUUUCGAAGCAAGUCGCCUCACAUUUAACUUCAAGAAAUCAAAUUAUCAUGUUUAACAAAUAAAUAAAUUUUGUGGUGUUUGGCGACUUUUUCUCUUAUGCAUCAGAUUUUUUUUCUUUUUUCGAAAAGGGGGACUCCUCGGUCUCUGCAUCAGAACCAUGCAUACAGCCACAUUUAUUAGCAAGUAAAAAGGUUCAACAAGGUCUUUAAGUCUGUGAACAAAAAGGAUCGGCUAGCUCACACAGAGCGUCAACGCCAAAACAGAAAACCUGACAAGCCACAACCGGCUGGCAAAAUAACAGAUAGGUAAACUAAUCGCCUAUCCUAUUACAUGACCGUCAUCCAAACCGGUUGAAGAUAUCCCGCGCUACCAUCUCCCACUGGACAGAUCCAGUAACCAAACGCUCCCUGGCCUCCGUCGGAGUGAGUAAGGACCACAUACGGAUCAGCGCAGUAGCCCGGAAUAUAACCUGCAAAAAAUGAAUAGUUGGUGUUCUGUUAAAUGCCAAAUCAUUUCUGCAAUUCCAAAUUGCCCAUAACAACGCACACACUUCUACACGAAUGUGUCUAGCUGUUUCUGGCUCUAUCCCAGCAAGCCACGUCCCGAAUAAAGUGUUGACCGAAGUCGAAGGAGUAAUGUUAAAGGCAAUUUGCACAGAGCGCCACAACCCUCAUGCCAACGGGCAAUCAAAGAAGAGGUGCUUGAUAGUCUCUUCCCGAUCACAGAAGCUACACCUAGUAGAGCCUGUCCAGUUUGGCUUAACUAGAUUGUCCUUUGUUAAAAUUACUUGUUUAUGAACAAACCACAUAAACACUUUGAUCUUCAAAGGGACCUUGACUUUCCAAACCUCUUUGGAACUAGGAAUCACACUAGAGUUAAUAAUAUCGAUAUACAUCGAUUUAACUGUGAACUCCCCAGAUCUAGUAAGCUUCCACCGCAACUGAUCGGGCUGAGGAGUUAACUGAACCUCCAUCAGUCGACGAACCAAGUGAAGCCAUGCUUCCCACCGAUCACCCACAAGCACCCUCCUAAACUGAAUGUUAAGUGGAAUGGACUGCAUGACCGUAGCAACAAGAGCCUCGCGACGCUGAACAAUACGAUAAAUGGACGGAUACUGGGUCGCCAAAGGCGCGUCACCAAGCCACGUAUCUUCCUAGAAUCGAGUGUUGUUGCCAUUACCGACAAUAAACCUAGUUCUGUUAAAGAAGGUAGCUUUGACUCUCAUGAGCCCCUUCCAGAACGGCGAAUCAGUUGGUCUGACAGUGACCUGGGAUAGGGUCUUGGACUGCAGAUAUUUACUACGUAAAGUCUGCGCCCAUGUUGCCUCUGUCUCAAGUGACAACUUAUACAGCCAUUUACUAAGCAGGCAUCUGUUCUUGACCUCUAAAUUUUCAAUACCAAGGCCCCCCUGGUCCUUUGGUCGACAGAUAAUAUCCCAUUUGGCUAGUCGGUAUUUUCUCUUAAUUUCAUCGCUCUGCCAAAAAAAUCUGGAUCGAUAGAAGUCCAGUCUUUCCCUAACCCCAACUGGGACCUCAAAGAAAGAUAAUAUGAACAUAGGUAAACUCGUGAGCACCGAGUUAAUAAGAAUCAACCGGCCUCCAUAAGACAUGAGUUUUCCUUUUCAGCAACUCAGUUUCUUCUCAAACCGAUCCUCUAUGCACUUCCACUCGCUGUUUGUUAGCUUACGAUGGUGAAUGGGAAUACCUAGAUACGUAAAAGGUAAAGCUCCCACUUCACAACCAAACAAUUGUCUAUAUGUCUCUUGUUCGUCUUUGGGUCUACCAAAGCAGAACAGCUCGUUUUUAUGGAAAUUAAUCUUAAGCCCCGUCAAUUGUUCAAAUAAUCAUAACAAUAACUUCAUGUUUCUCGCUUUAGCCAAAUCGUGUUCCAUGAAGAUGAUUGUAUCAUCAUCGUACUGCAGGAUGGACACACCACCAUCGACCAGAUGAGGCACCAAGCCACCCACCUGACCGGCUUCUUUUGCCCUCCCUAUCAGGAUCGCCAACAUGUCAACCACAAUAUUGAAUAAUAUUGGGGACAUAGGAUAACCUUGUCUCAACCCCUUAUGCAUUUGGAAAUAAUGGCCUAUAUCGUCAUUCACUUUAAUACCAACACUCCCUUUUUACGUGAAUGCUUCCACCUGGCGUCACCAAGCUUCAUCAAAGCCCUUCAUGCGUAAGGCCUGUUGAAGGAACGGCCAUUUGACUUUAUCAUAUGCCUUCUCGAAAUCCACUUUAAAAAUAACUCCAUCAAGUUUUUUCGUGUGGAUCUCAUGGAGCGUUUCAUGAAGGACCACAACCCCUUCCAGGAUGUUCCUGUCCGGCAUGAAGGCUGUUUGAGUAGGCUGCACCACGGCGUGCGCAAUCUGUGUUAGCCUAAUCGUCCCAACCUUGGUAAAAAUCUUGAAACUGACAUUCAGAAGACAGAUAGGCCGAAAUUGCUCGAUUCUCACGGCCUCUGUUUUCUUAGGGAGCAGGGUUAUUGUUCCAAAAUUUAGCUGGAAAAGCUGCAAAUGUCCCGAGAACAAAUCAUGGAACAUCGGCAACAGGUCCCCUUUAAUAAUGUGCCGGCACUUCUUAUAAAACUCAGCCGGGAAACCAUCCGGACCGGGUGCCUUAUUAUUUUUCAUCUGGGAUACGGCCUCGAACACCUCCUUUUCUGAAAAAGGGGCGGUUAAUAUAUCAUUCUCCACAGCCGUAAGUUGAGGUACAUCGUCGACUCUAGACUCAUCCAGAGACACACAGUUCUCCUCUGGUGGUCCAAACAAUCGUUUGUAAUACUUAGUAAUGUAAAGCUUCAAAUUUUCCUGACCUAUAAUCGUACCCUCAUCUUGUUCUAGCUGGAAGGUUCUCUUCUUCCUAUGUUUGCCAUUGGCAAUCAUGUGGAAGAAUUGAGUGUUCGCGUCCCCCUGGACCACUCUUCGUACCUUGGCCCGCAGAGACCACUUUAAUUCUUCUUCACGAAGAAGUUCCUUCAGCCUCAUCUCAGCGUCAAGCUUGGUAUGAAGCUCGGUGGCAGGCAACACCGUGGUUUCGGCUUUAACAUCUAAGGACUGAAUAAGGGCAAGGAGCCGUUCCUUUUCAACCUUAUAGAUCCCACUGAGAUGUUUAGCCCAUCCACGUAGGAAACUUCACAGAUGCCUAAUCUUAUUCUGCCAAUGCUCAAGCGCAUUCCUACCACCUGCAUCCUUAGCCCACUCUCUGGCUACGAGAUCCAGGAAGCCUUCUCUUUCAAACCACGCAAGCUCGAACGAGAACAAAUUCUUGUUGCCCGAGUAGGUAGCCCCACCAGAGUCAAGAAAAAGAGGCCUGUGAUCAGAAAUCCCGCGAGAGAGAGCCUGGACUGUUACACAGGGAAACUUCUGUUCCCAUUCGACACUAGCGAGUAUCCGAUCCAACUUUUCAGACGUUGGAUUUGGCAUGGCGUUAGCACAAGUGAACUUCCUACUUGAAAGCUCAAUCUCUCUCAGAUCGAAGCUUUCAAUGAUAGUGUUGAACAUGAACGACCAUCUCCCAUCAAAAUUAUCAUUGUUCUUCUCAUCACGUCUCCUAAUAAUGUUAAAGUCUCCCCCAACGAGAAUGGGGAGCUGCUCAGAACCGCAAACUCUAACUAGGUCGGCCAAGAACUCUGGUUUUAGUUCUGCCUGCGCGGCCCCAUACACCGCCACCAGAGCCCAGUCAAAACCGUCAACCUUGGACCGCACCCUGAACUUUACAGCAAAAUCUCCCAUACCACACUUCGAACUUCGAGAGAAUCGCAUCGAACACCAAGUAAGAUUCCUCCCAAUCUCCCUCUCGGUGGCAAACAAUGCCAGUCAAACUCAAUACCCCCCAAAAGAGUGUUGAGAAAUUGUGGCGAGAAAUUCGCUCUACCAGUUUCCGACAGCGCAGUAAAAUCCAGACGCUGUUCGAUGGAUGUAUCUGCAAGAAACCUUCUUUUAGCCAAGUCCUUAAGACCUCUGCUAUUCCAAAAGCUUCCUCUCAUAUCUCGUCGUGGAAUUUUUUAGCCGUGCGGAUCCUAGCACUCCUACGCACUGCGAACAUUGGGUAAAUCUUGCGCUUCCAUUUGCGCUUAGGGAUGGUCCUCGCGUCCGCCCGGUCCACUCUCCCCGUUUCAGGGGGUCUAACACCAUCCAUCUUGACACUCUCAUCCUCCUCCUCCGGCUCCAGGAGGGGAGGCGCGAGAUCGGCACAAAAAUCAUCGAGCACCCGGAUUCCCAAAGCAUCAAUCUUGAAAUCAUUCAUGGGUUUGAUGGCAGCUAAGUUUCGAAUCACAUCUAAAGCCCUCUCAGCUUCUAGAUCUAGCAAAUCAUUGAUGGAAUUAGAAAUUUCACCAUCGUUACUACCUAGUGAAAUUCCUAAUUGGUUUGCAUUAUCAAUAAUCUCAUCGUUCGAAAAAUGCAAGAUGGAAUUAGAAGUGUUCACUGACAUACCAGUAGUGACCUGGACGUCAUGAAGCUUGGCCGCCCUCACAGCGCACCGCUGCUGCAUGUCGUCCACCUCCGGACGACCCUGAAGACGACAACUCAACCGUCAGCCCUCAGACGCCUGGUCCGGAAUCCCGCCGAACUGAAUAACCUCCUCCCGAGUGAAGUUGCCCGGGGACUGACCUCCUUUCACCCCCAACACUCAACCGGUCUCCAUGACCAGGAGAGGGCGCCGAGACAGCUGAUGGGGAACCAAGGGCCUCCUGCCCCCACUCCCCGCCCACCCGGACUGUAGGUCAGGAGUGGUCACCGGCGCCAACGGUGGGGCGGUCCCCCUAGGCGCGGAAGGUGGAGAGGACCCCGAGGCCAACCGCCCCAAGCCCCCUCCAAAGACUGGGCCUGCCUCCUGCAACGUCGGACUAGGGAUAGGAGAAGGGGGCGCCGAGGCCACCUGCCCCGGCCCCCCUCCCGAAGGUGACCCCUCCCUCACGGUAGCACCGACCGGAGCGAGAGGAGAAGGGGGCGUCGAGGCCACCUGCCUCGACCCCCGUGCACAGCUCAGAGCCACCACCUGCAGUUCUGCUGUCUCCACAAAAACCGAGGGGGGCGAGAUCACUAUCUCCAAACCCUCCUCCGCGCAAGGGCCCUCCACACCCAGACCCUCAAAGUCCAAUGCGGGUAAAGAGUGCUCAAAAUCCUCCACAGACUCCACCCGCUCGCUCCAAAGUCUCGAAGGUGCAGAAGCGGCCUCAAUAGAUCCAAAUCUCAGAGUGGUCGACGACAGUGAGGAGGGAGGCGCCGUCCUAUCUCCGGUCGUCUGAGCAACAGACCCCGGUCCCUCGGACAUCUCUCGUCCAGGGUCAGCGGUCGGAGUCUCCUUAACCCCCGCACCCUCAUCAUCCUCGUGCAUAUCAACAUCAGUGGCAGCAGGUGCCUCAGCAAACAGGCUGUCAUCCUCAAACUCAAUCUGAAGGUUGUAAACCUGGCCUCGAUAAGCCCACUUGACCACAUCAGGCACAAACUUGAUGUCCAAAAUACUGACAAGUAAGCGAGCAACCCCAUGGGCUCUAGUAAAUGCCAUAUCCACUCUCUCAGGCUUUCCCACCAUGAUGCCCAAACUAGCAACAACCCUAGCAUCCUGCAUAGGUUUGGAAGGAGCUCCCGAAAAACGUAACCAAGCCUGGGUAAGAGGUUUCUUAUGCAUCGGAUAUCUUAUGGCCAAUAAAUUUUGUUUCAAUCCGUGCAUGCACUGGUGCCCAGGUAAACCAGGACCAGCAGUAAAAUCUGCCCAUUGUUUAUCAAGCAUGUGCAAGUGCCCGGGGUGGCUGGGCGCUGGCUCCACCCCUGUUCACGAUGUACAUUCUUCUUAUCCAUUAGAAACAUUUUUCUAUGCAGGUUUAACAUUUUUCAAAUGCAUGAUUUUUUUUAUGUAAAGUGGUUUUUGUAAUAGAAAAAGGUAAAAAAUAAAGAAAAAAUAAAUUGUGAAAAAGGAUGAAAAAAUGACCGCUUAAGGCCUGUGGUCCUCCCGCGCGCUGGUCCAACCAGUGUCGUAGGCACUUUAGGGGAGACCCUUUUUAGUGUCGCAAUAGGGGACACAUAGUCGUAUCCUGGAAAAUACACCAUUUUUUUUGCUAGCACACAAAUUAUGUACCAUAUUUUUAUAGAAGGCAAAAAAUAUGUCACAAGAGAUGCUAGAAGCAAAACAAGCUAAGCUACCGACAGACAUCCACACACCCACAAGAAUAUUACAAGCUACUCUCUCACAAAGAUUUGAAAACACCACUCCUGCAGUUCUCCAAGUCUGAACCUCAUCUAGAAUAAGGUUUACAAACUGAGGGAUGUUGCAUUGCUGAGCAACAUUCCCAAACACCCUGGCAUUGCUUUAUUUCCAUAGGCUCCAUGCAAUAAGAACAACAAUUGAAUCAAAGCUCUUAUUGAAUGGUUUUAACAAAGUUUGGCGUGAAUAACAAUAAGAUACACCAUUCAGAAUGGGCUCGCUAUAAAGGAAGAAAGACCCAAGUUGGUUGAGCGGCAGGGCAAAUCCUAUAUGAACUUAUUGCAUCAGAUUAUCAUUCGAAUGCACAGAAGAAACAGAGCUAACUAUUGAUUUGGGACGACCCACAAGUGACUACUAUAACCGGUUUUGGGAACCUUCUAGAGGUUUCCUGAUUUUUUUCCCUCUUGUUUUCUUUACUCAUUUUUUGACAUCUCUUUUGGUUUCUUUUUUUAUAUUUCUUUUUUCUCUUCUUUUCUUUGAAGUUUUGGAAAUUCAAAGACUAUUCAUAAAUUUUAAUUUUUUUAAAAAAAAUUUACAAAAUUUUCACAUUUCUAAAAAGAUUUUGGAAAUUUAAAAUUUGUUCCUCAUUUUUAAAUGCUUAGCAUAACAAAAUUUGUUUGCAUCUUUCACAAAAAGUUAAAGUUUUUUACAAGUCAUUGAGUUUAUUUUUUCCCCAAUUUUUAAAAAGUUCUUGCUUUAUUUUUUCACAAAAUUUUAGAAAAUAUUUACCUUUUCAAAAUAUAUUGAUGUUUCAAAAGAAUGUUUGCAAAUUUGAAAAAUGUUUGUAUUUUCUACAAAAUUCUCAUUUUUUCAUAAAAAACAAACUUUUUAAAAUAUACCUUUUCCAUGAUUUCUUCGAAAAUAGAAUGAAAAAAAGAGUGCUCCAAUCAAUAAUUUGCUUAAAUAGUCAAACUCUCUACUGUUCCUACCCGUCGUCGCUACCGUAUCCGAUCGCCAUAGUGUGCGGAAGUGGGCCGACCGACUCGGGGAUUGUCCUUUGCGGAAAGGUGGCAAUUUGGCGCUAUAAGCGUCCGGGGAUCCCAUUUGGCGCGCGGGUCGUUGGUUAGCGACCGGCCGACCGCGCGCUUCCAUUCUGUGUACGUUUGGACCGGCCGAACUUAGCUCUAGAACUUUCCCCAACUGGUUUUAUUCGUUUUUCUUAUUUUUCCAUUUUUUUUCUCCUUUUUCAUUUUCAAUUUUCCUUUCCUUUUUAUUUUUCGUCUUUAAUUUUAUUACAUCUUUGAUUUUACUUGUAAUUUCUUAAUUUUGUGAACAAUUUUAAAAUUUGUGAACUUUUUUAAAAUAGUGAAAUAUUUUCAAAAUCAUGAAGAUGUUUCAACUUCGUGAUUUUUUGAAAUCGUGAACAUAUUUUCAAAUUCAUGGAGAUUUCGUUACAAAUUCGUGAACAUUUUUUACAAACCCAUGAACAUUUUUUAUUCAAUGAACUUGUUUUAAAAUUUGUGAACAAUUUUUGAAAUUUACGAUUUUUUUUGAAUUUUGCGAACAUGUUUAAAAAAUCAUAAACAUUUUUUGAAUUCAUGAACGUUUGUUAUCAAGUUCAUGAACAUUUUGGGAACAUGUGAACAUUUUUUGCUUUGACGAGCAUUGUGUUAUAAAAUUGUUAACAUUUAUCUAAUCCACAAUCAUUUUUUUGAAACUUGUGAACAAUUUUUAAAUAUAUGAACAUUUUUUGAAAUCACGAACAUUCCUGAAAAUGUCUGUACUAGCUUGGGCUGGAAAGUCUUGUCAUGUGUUUACCCUGGCCAUAAAUCCAUGCACGUGUUGAGCCUGGCCCGGGUGUUGGAAGUUUGACACCUGUCUUAUGCAAAAUUUGUCUAGGGCCCACUAAUCAAGUCUUAGCAUAUGUAUAUAGCUUGUUUCGUAGCCAUUGGGCUAGAACAUGAACCAAACGUCUAGAUCAUAGGCUAGCCUGAUCAGGCAAUAAAAUGACAUAUUUUCAGGUGAAGUCCAGGCAACGAUUUAUUGCAGGUAUGAAGUUAUGUUCAUCAACUAAACUAGCCCAUAGACUUUUUUGCUUUGCCUGGACUAGGCGCCAAUUUGCCAUCUAACGAGAGCCUAUGCAAGACCAGGAUGUCAAAGAAAAAAAACCGCAAGGCCAACUACCCCUCCAAACUCCAGGGACACAUUUGGUAGCCUGUAAUUUUUUUGCCUCCUUGCAUAUGUGACCGAGUUGGGCCUGACUGACUGAAUACAGGAUAAAAUUAUGUUUUGCACAUAGUUUUUGGUUUGCAUCCUCCUUAGCCUGGCCGAGAAGAAACACACGCAUGGUAUUUGGAUGCAGACCUGUUCCAGGGAGAUGCAGAGUAUGUGGUGUGUGGUUACAUGCAACACAUAUGGUGGUAACCUCUUGUUGGAGUGGUGAAGUUACACGCAGAGAUGAAAACGGAGCGGAAACAAACGUAAUUGAGUGCUACCACAUUUGUUUUCAUAUCAUUUUGCUGAAGCGAAAACGAAUACAGAAACCACGGAAAUGAAUACGGCAAUAGAUACUAUCAGAAGCGGACACAGACCAAAUACAGAGUGGACACAAAAACAAACGUGGGUGCUGACCGAAACUUAAAAACCCUUGAAUCAUAGAGAAAUACAAACCUAAACAAACAAAUUUAAUGAAUUGUUAACGUGGCUACAAAUUAAUAUGAUUAUGUUAGCAACUUAGUGUAGUAUUUUAGUACUGAACAAUUGCGUAUGGGGUCUAGUUGAGUACGUGUGUGAUAGUAGAAGCUGAGAAUAAAAAAUGAUCCUUUCUAUUCAUAGUGUCAUUGUGUGUUGUUUGGUGGUUGGGCUACAAAGCAGCCAUAGGCCUAUAGUAAAAACGGAAAUUGCAUAUUUACGAAAACACAAAGUUCCAUUUUCGUGUCUUUUCCCUCAAAAAACAUCAUUCCAAUUUUGUUUAUGUUUCCGUAUAAAAAAUCCAUUUUCAUUUCUAUUUUGCAAAUUUCCGUUUCCAUUUUCAUAUUUUCUCACCGUUUCCAUUUUCCCUCCAGAAACGCAGAAAGUUUUCAGUCCAUUUUCAUCCCUAGUUACAUGCACACUCACAUACACAACCCAUAAACCCAUAAAUAGACAUAGCAUAAACCCAUAAACCGGAAUCUUAACGCAACCAUAUUUUUUAAGGAAUCUUGGAGGAUUCUAAUUUUUUUGUUUUUUUCCUUCUAUUUUGGUUAUUUGAUUCCUAGGAUUACAAUCCAUAUCUUUUUUGUAGGACUCGCUAGUACUAGCUUUCAUAAAACUUUUUUCAUCCAUUCCAACCUAGAAUAUUACGUAUUCACGUGUCAAAUCAAAUGUCCUAUACAAGUCUUGUAGCAUUAAAGAUGGCAUGCCACUUCAUUCUUGUGUUUGUCCUAUUCCUACAUUUAAGAUAUCUUGUAAUCAAAGAGGUUUUAAAUAACCAAUUUGAAACACCACGUUAGCACCUUCAAGAAGGAGGCAACACAUACGACAACAUUACCAAAAUUAACCAGUGAAUGCUAGAACUUAGGUUUUCACCAUAACGUUGAAAUUCCAAAACAACACUUCUAGGAAGAAAAUGCCGUGCGGGUGAUGUCGUUGCCAUAUCUAACUAAUGAAAACCACAUCAAGGAAUUCAUCUCAGUGUUCAAAAACCCAACAUCAAUUCUCUGUGGUCUCUUCAAAGUUCACCCAAAAUAUAUGACUACUAAAAUGACCGCAGGGACCAUCUAUUGCCCGUAUUAGUGAGAAACCUCGUGGAAGUGAGCGUCGUGACAUCAUGAUACAUGUGCAAACCAACAAAAUGCUCCUAAAAAGCACCCGUGCCACCCUCAGGACCACACAGCCAACUGAAUUAGAACACCGUUCUAGGAACCGAACCGGCAUGUGUGAUGUCCUAGAAACCUUGCUGACCGACGGCAACGAGGAGAGAGAAGCGCUCUGCUACCAUAGGAGCAACAAGGGCUAUCACACACUCACGGCCUGUAGCCAAUUAAGCAACCGACAAUUAUAUGAAACAAGUGGACCUAACAAGUUUAUAAUUUAGAUACUUUAUUAUACAGGACACCGGGCUAACAAAGUUUAAUGUACAUCCAUCCAUGCCAUCUUCCACGCAAAUUCAGAAGUCACUCUGGAUAAAAUAGUUGCAAUAAUACAAACACCAAGCACCAAUACAAAAACGUUUCACAUAUUCCUUUCUAUUACCAAGUGGCUAAGGAUUCCCGUAUCCAUGAGCUACAUGCUAAACAAACCUUUCAUUAAUCAGUUUUGCCGUCGUACUCCGUACUAAAUAUUUUGCCAUCAAUUAUCGAUGCUUCAAGUGGCAGUUGCUAUAUAUAUCAAAAGGUCAAUCCCGAACAACAUGCCAACAUGGAUCAUACUUUAGUAUUUUGUCUACGACCAAGUGGCACAUCAGUUUAGCUCAUUACACUAAAUACUACCUCCGUAUCAAAAUAUAAGACGUUUUUACAGGAUAAAAUAGCCUACAAAAACAUCUUAUAUUUUGGUACGGAGUUUCAUAUUUUCAGACGAAAACCUUAAGAUAGCAUUAGGAAAACUGACAACUAUUUACGGCGAUGUUUACACGGUUGGGGUAGGCGGCCAAUAUAUUUUUACCUAACAUGGAUGACGACAUAGCCUACAGAUAAACACACCCCCCACAUCGCCUUAGGCUAGCAUAGUGGGAUUAACUUAGCUACGCACCCAAGACAAAUAUGCUUAUGUGGCAAGAAGUUGAUGAGGAGAGAAGUGUUUGUGGUAACAUAAUAUGUUACAGUAACAUAACACCCCAAUGUAAAAUGAGUCUACAACCUAAAGAAGGCUUGCACGACACUACAUUCAUGUUAUUACCCACUAUGAAGGUAUUAUCAUAUACUAAUAACAUAUGCAUGUUAGUAAUCCAAGUUACUCCUCACUAUGACUAGUCUUAGACAUUGUCUUAGUCUUGUACGACUUUACUCUUUGCCAAUGUGACCUUUUAUCUGUAUGCGCACGCGCGCGCAAUGCUGUUUAGUUUGUGCAUCUUAAUCAAGCACAUUCGAGGUAUGUACUCGUUGCGUUUUUAUCCCCUUGAUAUAACAUUAUGAAUCAAUAAAAAUCGCCUUUUAUUAGAAAAAUGAGCAAUAGGAGGUCACCAACACCAGUUAGGUCAGCUUUCUCUUGCAUCAUCGGUGUCAAUAUACAUGUCAAUACAAAUGCAUAAUUCGUUUCACAUUUUUUUUAUCUCAAACGGUUAAUGUUUUUGUUAAUAGUAUUAAAUGAUGCGGUUAGAAUAGAUAGGAAUACACAUGACCACAUACAAUGGAUAGAGGCAUAGAGCAAUAAUCUCUAGGUGAUCUUUUUAAGAGAAGACAACCUUACACAUCUCUUUCCUCCUAGUGGCCGAACUAGCCCAUGUUGUAAGACUGAGGCUACGAUAGACAAUGGUUGCCCUGCAAAUCUUCACAGCCAACCCUCAUGUGCUUAUUAAUUGCUAGCCGCGGAUUUGUAGAUGAGAUCGGGCAGAAUGACAUAUCUCGAGGUUCACUCCGCCAUGCUUCCCCCUCAAUAAAUAUAGGCCCCAAAUUCUAAGUUUAACUUUGAUCAACAAAAUAAUAUAAAUCAUGUGGUAUAAAAGUACCAUUGGAUACCUAAUUGAAAGUGAUUUCUAAUGGUAUAUUUUUUACGACAUAUAACUCGCUAAUCAAAAUUAUUCUCAAAAUUCUAAAGGGGAGGAGGGGAGUAUUUGACAAAAAACUACCACGUUUCACGUCAGUGUCCCACGGAACUACCACAUUUUAAAAAGUGGCCGAAAACUCCAGAUUAGUACUAAUUUUAUGACAAAAAACUACCAGGUUGAGUUGAUGACCGUUUUAAUGAUUUUAAACUUGUUUAUGACAUGCGAGACCCGUGUGCCAGAGCUGACGUGGCGGGAAAGUCAACUCCGUUUAUUUUGGCAGUCACGUUGGCCGUUAUUACAGGUGGGUCCCACACAUUAUUCUUCUUCCUCCUCCUCCUCUGGCAUUUUAACAAAUACCUCAUGUGCAUCAUCCGGCGAGAGGAGCUCGUCGUCGCCACCUCCAUCAUGGAGCUCGAGCGCGGUCCAUGGCCAGGCGCAUGACGCCCAACUCGCCGCGCAGCAUCUCCCGCCCUAUGAUGAUACUUGACUUUCCCGCCACGCCAUCCAGCGAAGUACGUACAUGCAGCUGGCACCACACCAUGGCUCCGAUGGAGAGCUCGAGCAAAUCGCCACUGGGGAUGGAGCAAGCAAGGCAGGGCUUCCCAGCGGUGGCUGUCCUGCCUCAGCUGGUCCGCGCACUGAUGGAGUACUCGGCUCGCUGCUGCGCUCGGCCUCGGGAGCACCCGCCCCUCCAUCCCCCAGCGAAGAAGCCGGCGGCGCCGCGGGACCCGCCCCUCCAUCUCCCAGCGAAGAAGCCGCUGGCCACCGGCGCCGCGGGAUCCGACGAGCACUCAUCCCGCCAUCUCCCGACGAAGAAGCCACUGGCCGCCGGCGAUGUGUGAUCCAGAGACCCGGCUGCUGCUGGUUCCCCGCCAACGCUGCCGCCGCGCUCCUGUUCCAGCCAACACCGGGCUGGUGGUUCCCCGCCAACGAGGAUGCAGAGCUCGACAGCGUGCCCGUGCCCUGUUUCAUCAUGUGGGCACGAACACUAGGUGUUCGUUGAAAUGCCUAAGAGAGAAAGAGGAUGAGGAAGAAGGUAGAUGCUGACAUGUGGGACCCACCUGUAAUAACGGUCAAUGUAACUGUCAAAAUAAACGGAGUUGACUUUUUCGCCACGUCAGCUCUGACACACGGGCCCCGCAUGUCAUAAAUAGGUUUAAAAUCAUAAAAACGGUCAUCAAUUCAAUUUGGUAGUUUUUUGUCACAAAAUUAGUACUAAUCUGAAGUUUUCGGUCACUUUUUAGAAUAUGGUAGUUCUGUGGGACGGUGAAAUGAAAUGUGAUAGUUUUUUGUAAAAUACNNNNNNNNNNNNNNNNNNNNNNNNNNNNNNNNNNNNNNNNNNNNNNNNNNNNNNNNNNNNNNNNNNNNNNNNNNNNNNNNNNNNNNNNNNNNNNNNNNNNNNNNNNNNNNNNNNNNNNNNNNNNNNNNNNNNNNNNNNNNNNNNNNNNNNNNNNNNNNNNNNNNNNNNNNNNNNNNNNNNNNNNNNNNNNNNNNNNNNNNNNNNNNNNNNNNNNNNNNNNNNNNNNNNNNNNNNNNNNNNNNNNNNNNNNNNNNNNNNNNNNNNNNNNNUACCCAUUCAUUAGAAACAAUCCCUAAACUAUCGCAUCAACUUGCUUCUCCCACCACAAAGUAACGAAAGCAAGUGCAACCUCCUAAAGAAAAUUAACUAGGAGUACUAGUAUUUAACUUGCAACCAUCCACCUCUUGGUUUCCCAUUUGACAUAUAUAGCACAUCCAAGACUAGAGAACUUCCUCCGUUAAUCCUAAGUUCCUAAUCCACCCACUCUUCUUCACAGCGAUAAAACUCAGAAUCUCGAUCCGCUCGCGGCUU
rnacentral:lncRNA from 1 species